CAGUUACCAGGUUCCCGUUUGCAUAAUUGCUGCUCAGCACAAACCCUCCUGUGGAUUUGGUUGCUGCUCGGCACAACUUUUCCUGUCUGAACAGUAAAUUCCAUGAAUCACAUUUUUAUAAGCGGAUGAAUACGUGACAAUUCUCUACUUAGUGAAUACAGUUAAAAACACACUCUCUGUGCAUGACUUUAGGAAACUGAUGACUUCAAACAGGGGAUUUUUAUGAAUCGCAAUAGGCAGUUUUAUCAGGUUUUCAUGGAAAUGUUCUGAUAAAAGUGAGAUGGGGCGCAGAGUUAGAGACGGGGUAAGUGUAGGGCACAGUGAUAUGGGAUGGAGGUAGUGACCAUGGUAUAGUCAGAUAGGAAGAGGGAGCACAGGAGUACAAUGGGAUACAUAGGUUAGAG